rnacentral:rRNA from 1 species
GACGAACGCUGGCGGCGUGCUUAACACAUGCAAGUCGAACGGUGAAGCGCCUUCCUUUUUGGUGGGUGUGGAUGAGUGGCGAACGGGUGAGUAACACGUGAGUAACCUGCCCCCUUCUUCUGGAUAACCGCAUGAAAGUGUGGCUAAUACGGGAUAUUCUGGGUCUGUCGCAUGAUGGGUCUGGGAAAGAUAUUGUUUCGGUGGGGGAUGGGCUCGCGGCCUAUCAGCUUGUUGGUGGGGUGAUGGCCUACCAAGGCGGUGACGGGUAGCCGGCCUGAGAGGGUGGACGGUCACACUGGGACUGAGACACGGCCCAGACUCCUACGGGAGGCAGCAGUGAGGAAUAUGGGACGAUGGGCGCAAGCCUGAUGCAGCGACGCCGCGUGAGGGAUGGAGGCCUUCGGGUUGUGAACCUCUUUCGCCAGUGAAGCAGGCCUGCCUCGUUUGUGGGUGGGUUGACGGUAGCUGGAUAAGAAGCGCCGGCUAACUACGUG